rnacentral:rRNA from 1 species
GAUGAACGCUGGCGGCGUGCCUAAUACAUGCAAGUCGAGCAAACAGACGAGGAGCUUGCUCCUCUGACGUUAGCGGCGGACGGGUGAGUAACACGUGGAUAACCUACCUAUAAGACUGGGAUAACUUCGGGAAACCGGAGCUAAUACCGGAUAAUAUAUUGAACCGCAUGGUUCAAUAGUGAAAGACGGUUUUGCUGUCACUUAUAGAUGGAUCCGCGCCGCAUUAGCUAGUUGGUAAGGUAACGGCUUACCAAGGCAACGAUGCGUAGCCGACCUGAGAGGGUGAUCGGCCACACUGGAACUGAGACACGGUCCAGACUCCUACGGGAGGCAGCAGUAGGGAAUCUUCCGCAAUGGGCGAAAGCCUGACGGAGCAACGCCGCGUGAGUGAUGAAGGUCUUCGGAUCGUAAAACUCUGUUAUUAGGGAAGAACAAAUGUGUAAGUAACUAUGCACGUCUUGACGGUACCUAAUCAGAAAGCCACGGCUAACUACGU